AGAGUUUGAUCCUGGCUCAGAUUGAACGCUGGCGGCAUGCUUUACACAUGCAAGUCGAACGGCAGCACGGGCUUCGGCCUGGUGGCGAGUGGCGAACGGGUGAGUAAUGCGUCGGAACGCGCCGAGUAGUGGGGGAUAACGCAGCGAAAGCUGUGCUAAUACCGCAUACGUACUGAGGUAGAAAGUGGGGGACCCUCGGGCCUCACGCUAUUCGAGCGGCCGACGUCUGAUUAGCUAGUUGGUGGGGUAAAGGCUCACCAAGGCGACGAUCAGUAGCGGGUCUGAGAGGAUGAUCCGCCACACUGGGACUGAGACACGGCCCAGACUCCUACGGGAGGCAGCAGUGGGGAAUUUUGGACAAUGGGCGCAAGCUUGAUCCAGCCAUGCCGCGUGUCUGAAGAAGGCCUUCGGGUUGUAAAGGACUUUUGUCCGGGAGCAAAGCC
rnacentral:rRNA from 1 species